GCAUGCAUCAUGUUCCACAUUAAUGUUUUGUUGAGAUAUCUAUAAAAAAAAACUCUUGUAAAUGUUACUCUGUUUUAAGGGUACGGGCUGAUCAGGGCGUGGAAAAUGUAGACAUUGCACGCCUCAUGUUUACAGUCCGUGGCACUGGAAGGGGCAGCUUCAUAUCUGGCAAGAGUGUUCACAAUCAACGGUCAGUCCAAAACUUCAGAUAAUGCUAGCUAAAAGAUACCACCUCACUGCUGCCUUGCAAGAACAUUAUUAUUUGCUACAAAUACAGUAUAUCAGCUUGCAGCAGGACUACUAUUUGAGGAGUGUGAGCUGAAAGUCCUAUCUCCAGUGGUAGCUGCUGUCAGUUAAAGGGUCCUGAAUAGCAACCUCCUUAGCAUGCAAAUUUAACAGCCUUAUCCUUACUGCAAAAAAAUAAGUUAGUUUUUUGCUGGGCAAUGGGUCUGGAAUUACAUCUGUAUGUCACUUCUGUUUUGAUAGUAUGCAGUGACAUUAUAUUCCAUUAAACAUUGUUUCUUCUUCUAAACAAAUAAAGUAGAUAAAGAAAAACACAACUAUGCAUUGAACAAUCUGAUGAAUUUUCCCUGUACAUUAAGUUUAAAGGUUCCUAUUGAACUUCACUGUUUUCCAGAAUCGAGAGGCUUUGGAGAGACCUGUGGGUAGCUGUCACAAACAUCUACUAUGAUGUUCUCCACUACCUUGAAGAAGAGGGCUUCCUCAACAUCGCCAAUGCUACACACCUCCUCUGUUGCCAUUAUGUGUUCCUGCCACGGCUGCAAGAUUCCCUGGACACUUUCCGCAGUGGCUGGGACAAUCAUCCAAUAAGAACAGAAGGCCAUAUGACCCCUAAUCAGCUGUGGGAGCUGGGCCGAAUCCAUCACCCAAUUCAAGGCCCAGAAAAUAUGGAGAGUAUGGAUAUUCCUCACAUUGAGUGGGAAAACAGUGGACUUACUGCUGAUGGCUACUCAAGUGUCAUUGUCCCAGACACAGAAAGCCCACUGACUGAUGGACAAAUGGCAGCUUUAAGAGAGGUUGUUGACCCAAGAGCUGCAUCCCAGUCCUUUGGCUGUGAUAUCUAUGUCGCUGCUGUUCAAUUUUGUGAGCAUGUUCUAUCUGAAAACUGAAAGACACACACAUGCCCCCCUUG
ensembl:lncRNA